rnacentral:tRNA from 1 species
GCGGAUGUAGCUCAGCUGGUAGAGCACAACCUUGCCAAGGUUGGGGUCGCGAGUUCGAGCCUCGUCAUCCGCU